rnacentral:rRNA from 1 species
AGGACGAACGCUGGCGGCGCGCUUAACACAUGCAAGUCGAGCGAGAACCAGGCCUUCGGGCCUGGGGAAAGCGGCGAACGGGUGAGUAACACGUGGGCAACCCACCCUUGGUACCGGGAUAGCCCGGGGAAACUCGGAUUAAUACCGGAUGGCCCAACAGCUCUUAGGGGCGGUUGGAAAAGGUAGCUUCGGCCUCCGACCAAGGACGGGCCCGCGGCGGAUUAGCUUGUUGGUGGGGUAACGGCCUACCAAGGCGACGAUCUGUAGCUGGUCUGAGAGGACGAUCAGCCACACUGGGACUGAGACACGGCCCAGACUCCUACGGGAGGCAGCAGUGGGGAAUCUUGCGCAAUGGACGACAGUCUGACGCAGCGACGCCGCGUGGGGGAAGAAGGCUUUCGGGUUGUAAACCCCUUUCAGGAAGGACGAAGCCACUCGGGUUAAUAGCCCAGAGGGUGACGGUACUUCCAGAAGAAGCUCCGGCUAACUACGCGCCAGCAGCCGC